GACGAACGCUGGCGGCGUGCUUAACACAUGCAAGUCGAACGGAAAGACACUGCUUUUUUGGGGUGCUGGAGUGGCGAACGGGUGAGUAACAGGAGAGUAACGUGACCUACACUUUGGGAUAGCUUCAGGAAACUGGAGUUAAGCUCGUACAGGAGAUCAUGCUGCAGUGUGGGGGUUGGAAAGUUUCGGCGGUUGGGGAUGGAUGGGCGGGUCAUGAGCUUGUUGGUGGGGUAGGUGCUUACCAAGGCUUUGACGGGUAGCCGGCCUGAGAGGGUGACCGGCCACAUUGGGACUGAGAUACGGCCCAGACGGCAAUGGGAGGCAGCAGUGGGGAAUAUUGUACAACGGGCCGAAGCCGGAUGCAGCAGCGCCGCGUGCGUGAUGACGGCCUUCGGGUAGUAAACCGCUUUCGCCUGUGACGACGCGGGAGUGACGGUAAUGGGUAAAGAAGCACCGGCUAACUACGUG
rnacentral:rRNA from 1 species